UGGAUGUAACGUGAUGAUUAAUAGCAAUGAACAGCAUCGUUUACUUUGUAUCCUAAUUGGACACGUUAUACAACAGUCACAUGCUGAACACCGCUACAGUGAAGCGACAGUAUGUGGUUUAUCAUUACAAUUUGUGACAACCCUGAACUGGACAUAAAAUUAUGUAAUAAAGAACAAACAUUUUGACUGUAAAUUAAAAUAAUUAUUUCUUACAUUGGUUCAUACAUAACACUAUAAUAAGUGGAAUACAUUCGUAACAGUGUUGUAUACGCUUCGGUAUAAUGUAGGACAUAGUUUUUUUUUCAAUCUAUCAAUUAUUAUAUAUAUAAACAUAACAUAGCGGGUAUACAAAUAAAAUUUUGUUUAACUGGAAUUUAUAUACUGUAUAGCGUUAGUAGAGAUCCUUACACGUGUUGGAAUGAAAGAGACAGAUGAUAUUUGGGGGCUAUCGAUCGGGCCCAAGCAAGUCGUCGUGAGGGUCGCUUCACCCAAAUUUCGACCAGAAUGUGGCGCUGGCUCUAUUGCAGUGCGGACAAGCGAUGCGGCGUGACGUCACUAAGCGGCGGGGAAGGGGGUCGUGGCCUAUAUAUCCCGGGAAAAGAAAAAACUGGGACUCUGCCCCGGAUUUUCGGACAGCUGAAUUAGAGAUCAAAAGUACGUAGUAAAAUGAGUGUGACAAUUUGUAAUCAUAACGUAAAAUAUUUAAGUGUUUCACUGUUUUACUUCAUGUCAUUAAUUCGUUUAUCAUUUCUGAAUAAUAAAUUUAAUUUAUCUGACA